GUAUAUAAGUCAUCGAUUAAUGUAACUCUUGUCAAGUGUACACUUAAUUCAAAAUGGUUCGAUUAUUUUUUUUUAUUUGUCUAUUUUUUUUAAUCAACUUAACUAUUCAGCAAGAUUCAGAAUGUCAGUGCUGGCCAGGAUAUGAAGUCAGAGAUUGUUUAAGAGAUGAAUGUACGAACAAUCUCCGGUGUCUUGGAAGGGAUUGGUUUACGUACAAUAAACAACAUUAUUGCAAUGAGCCUUUAAGACCUCGAUGUAAAUGUCCAGGGGCUCAUUCGAUUUUGACUGACAAAACUGGCACCUUUUGUGUAAUUUAUAAAAUAAAGAGCAAAUACAAAUGGCCAUGUGAAAAUACAGUCGAAUGGGACAUUUAUAAUGAGAACAUGAAACAAUUUCAAGAGAGUCAACUAGGAAUUGGACAGUUUUGAAUUUAAUUUGACAUUAAUCAAAAUAAUAAUAAUUAAAUUGGAACAACA